GACGAACGCUGGCGGCGUGCUUAACACAUGCAAGUCGAACGGUAAGGCUCCAGCUUGCUGGGGUACACGAGUGGCGAACGGGUGAGUAACACGUGGGUGACCUGCCCUGCACUUCGGGAUAAGCCUGGGAAACUGGGUCUAAUACCGGAUAGGACCGCACCGUGAGGGUGUGGUGGAAAGUUUUUUCGGUGUGGGAUGGGCCCGCGGCCUAUCAGCUUGUUGGUGGGGUAAUGGCCUACCAAGGCGGCGACGGGUAGCCGGCCUGAGAGGGUGGACGGCCACAUUGGGACUGAGACACGGCCCAGACUCCUACGGGAGGCAGCAGUGGGGAAUAUUGCACAAUGGGCGGAAGCCUGAUGCAGCGACGCCGCGUGGGGGAUGACGGCCUUCGGGUUGUAAACUCCCUUCACCAUCGACUAAGGGUUUCUGACGGUAGAUGGAGAAGAAGCACUGGGUAGCUACGUGCCUUCAGGCGCGGUAAAACCUCGGGUGCGAGCGUUGUCUGGCAUUACUGGGCGCAAUUGCGUCGUCGGCGGGCUGUCCCACCAUCAAAAAAAUUCCGCGGCCCCUCACCCGGGGUUGCCUGUU
rnacentral:rRNA from 1 species